GCAGACGGGUGAGUAACAUGUAGGUAUCUGCCCUAUGGCCUGGAAUAACACGAGGAAACUUGUGCUAAUACCGGAUAAGUCUUUACGGAGAAAGCUUUAUGCACCAUUGGAUGAGCCUGCACUUGAUUAGUUUGUUGGUGGGGUAAUGGCCUACCAAGACUGUGAUCAAUAGCUGAUUUGAGAGGAUGAUCAGCCACAUUGGGACUGAGACACGGCCCAAACUCCUACGGGAGGCAGCAGUGGGGAAUCUUGCACAAUGGAGGAAACUCUGAUGCAGCGAUGCCGCGUGAGUGAAGAAGGCCUUUGGGUUGUAAAGCUCCUUCGUCGGGGAAGAAAAUGACUGUACCCGAAUAAGAAGGUCCGGCUAACUUCGUGCCAGCAGCCGCGGUAAUACGAAGGGACCUAGCGUAGUUCGGAAUUACUGGGCUUAAAGAGUUCGUAGGUGGUUGAAAAAGUUGGUGGUGAAAUCCCAGAGCUUAACUCUGGAACUGCCAUCAAAACUUUUCAGCUAGAGUAUGAUAGAGGAAAGCAGAAUUUCUAGUGUAGAGGUGAAAUUCGUAGAUAUUAGAAAGAAUACCAAUUGCGAAGGCAGCUUUCUGGAUCAUUACUGACACUGAGGAACGAGAGCAUGGGUAGCGAA
rnacentral:rRNA from 1 species